GUUUGACCUCAAAUCAGGUA
rnacentral:rRNA from 1 species